CGACUUUCGAACGCAUAUUGCAGCCACUGGAUAUCCGGUGGCUUCGUUUGUCUGAGCGUCGUAUACAAUAUGUCCAAACAAAUUGAAGAUUUGCUCGUCGCGAUUUGUUUUGCGUCGUCAAAUCAAGUCAAACAAAUGAUGCUGCUGACCUUACGUGAUUCGAAAUGUGGCUUUGAUGCACAUUCUCACGAAAGGUAUUUGGCGUUUCCUGCCGAACACCUGUGAAUGUGUGCCCAUUGAAUCGCCGGUCACUUGUCAUUGUUUAUCAUUAUUUAAUUGUUAACUAUCGACCUCAGAUCAAGCGAGAUUACCCCCUGAAUUUAAGC
rnacentral:rRNA from 1 species